rnacentral:rRNA from 1 species
AACGAACGCUGGCGGCAGGCUUAACACAUGCAAGUCGAGCGCCCCGCAAGGGGAGCGGCAGACGGGUGAGUAACGCGUGGGAACGUACCCUUAUCUUCGGGAUAUCUCCGGGAGACUGGAAUUAAUACCGAAUGUGCCCUUUGGGGGAAAGAUUUAUCGGAUAAGGAUCGGCCCGCGUUGGAUUAGCUAGUUGGUGGGGUAAAGGCCUACCAAGGCGACGAUCCAUAGCUGGUCUGAGAGGAUGAUCAGCCACAUUGGGACUGAGACACGGCCCAAACUCCUACGGGAGGCAGCAGUGGGGAAUAUUGGACAAUGGGCGCAAGCCUGAUCCAGCCAUGCCGCGUGAGUGAUGAAGGCCUUAGGGUUGUAAAGCUCUUUCACCGGAGAAGAUAAUGACGGUAUCCGGAGAAGAAGCCCCGGCUAACUUCGUG